GAUUAACGCUGGCGCGUGCAUAACACAUGCAAGUCGAACGAUGAAACUUAGUAGACUUCUUCGGAAAGACACUAAGCGGAUUAGUGGCGAACGGGUGAGUAACGCGUGAGUAACCUGCCUUACACAAGGGGAUAGCCUUUGGAAACGAAGAAUAAUACCCUAUAAAACCAUAAAAGCACAUGCUAGAAUGGUCAAAGUGAUAGCGGUGUAAGAUGGACUUGCGUCUGAUUAGCUAGUUGGUGAGAUAAAAGCUCACCAAGGCAACGAUCAGUAGCCGGCUUGAGAGAGUGUACGGCCACAUUGGGACUGAGACACGGCCCAGACUCCUACGGGAGGCAGCAGUGGGGAAUUUUGCACAAUGGGGGAAACCCUGAUGCAGCGACGCCGCGUGAUUUAGAAGGCCUUCGGGUUGUAAAAAUCUUUUGUAUAGGAAGAAAAUGACAGUACUAUACGAAUAAGGUCCGGCUAAUUACGUG
rnacentral:rRNA from 1 species